AACACAGCGCGUGUUUGGGCGGUGGGCUCCGUCCACACCCAGCACACAGAGCUGUCUCCUCGUGGGGGCCCCGUCCACACCCAGCACACAGAGCUGUCCCCGUGGGCCCCGUCCACACCCAGCACACAGAGCUGUCCCCGUGGGCCCAGUCCACACCCAUAACACAGCGCUGUCCCCGUGGGCCCCGUCCUCACCCAGCACACAGAGCUGUCCCCGUGGGCCCCGUCCACACCCAGCACACAGAGCUGUCCCCGUGGGCCCCGUCCUCACCCAGCACACAGAGCUGUCCCCGUGGGGGCCCCGUCCUCACCCAGCACACAGAGCUGUCCCCGUGGGCCCCGUCCUCACUCAGCACACAGAGCUGUCCCCGUGGGGCCCCGUCCUCACUCAGCACACAGAGCUGUCCCCGUGGGCCCCGUCCUCACCCAGCACACAGAGCUGUCCCCGUGGGCCCCGUCCUCACCCAGCACACAGAGCUGUCCCCGUGGGCCCCGUCCUCACCCAGCACACAGAGCUGUCCCCGUGGGCCCCAUCCACACUGCAGUGUGACAGGGUCGGAGGGGGCAGUUCACGACAUAACAAGAGACUAUAGUAAGCAUUAAUAGAUAUCGCUUAAAACGUAAAAAUCAACAACUUUAUUAUUUAGAAAAAGUGAUAAACAUCAAAAUACUGUUACCGGAGGAUGGAGGGUUCUUGCCUUCGCGCAAGAAGGAAUUCAGGCGUGAGACAGAGUGGUGGAAAGUAGAAGUAGCAAAGUUUAUUAGGGAAGGGACAUGCGUAAGGACGGAUGGGCACCUCUCCAGACAGGACCUGGGAGAGAGUGCCAGUCGCUCAGACUUGGGGGGGGGGGUGCGGGGGGGUGGAGGUUACAUGGUUGAGUGGAGAGAUUAUACCUGGCCUGGCGGGCAGGCGGCUCAGCAGAGAGGCAGAGGGCUGAGCGCGCAGUCCGGUUGAGGCCGGGGGUUUUUAAGGAGAUGGGUCUCUGUCUUCAUACAUCUCCUCCUGAAACAAAGGAUUUUAUGGCUGUAAAUAUUAAGAAGCUCCCAUCUGAGUUUUCCCUGAAGGUAUCAGACAGGAGGAAGUUAGCUGGCGCCGUCCUGGGUUCAGAGGAAGGGUGAGCAGGACCCCCUGGAGAAUGGGGAUCUGAGCAGGGUGUUUGAGAUGCAGACCCUGGGCUGCAUCUGGGAGAUUUGUCAGGCAGGAGGGGCGGGGACCCCCACCUGGCAGGUUAUCGGAUAGGAGGGGGCAGGGCAGGAUGCGGACACGGGGCUGCCCCUGAAACGUUAUCAGGAUGACUUUGAGAUGCAGAUGCAGAUGCUGGACAUAGACGUCUUCUCUUUUGGCCUUUGUCACACACGCAUGCGCUCAUGUCUGACUUCCCACCCAACAACACGAGGAGACAGCUGAUUGCCGCCGAGAUGGACAAACGCGUGGCGGGAGCCGGAGCUGCUGGUUUGGGUUUGACUUGAUUUCUUUUAACAAACCUUACAGAUCUGUCUACUGCUUUACCCUGCAUUCAAGUGGAACCUGCAUAGAAAUAAAAAAAUAUUUCUCUUUAGCA
rnacentral:lncRNA from 1 species